UACACUCCAGCUAUACCGAACACGAACUAGCAGAAGGAGAGAACAACUAGAAACUAAAAAAAAACAGCCGAGAAAAGGAAACUAAAACUACAGAAGCCUUUCCAUCUUAAUCCACAGCAGCUGGAGGGCAUGGAAGACCAUCAUUUCGGGGCACAAGGGUGAGGGACGGUGGUGGCUUGCUGGCCCAUCUGUUAAGACCCACCGACCGAUGUCCAAGCAAGGUUGCCGUAUGGGCUGCCUAAUUUGCUUCACGGGGAAUCCAUUCCCAAGAGACAUGAUCAAAGAACUUGCUUCUCCACUUGAAUUUGAAUCUUUCUCAGAUUGAGAUCGGUGGCUAAAUUGAUCCCUAGAAGGAUUGCCUUGGCUUCUGCAGCUUCUACGAAACAGUUCUGGGAAAAUGCAGCUGCUCCUCCAAUAACACCGCAACUGUGGUCGCGCAACAAAACACCAAUGCCACCGGAGAUUGAGCUUACCCAUGCUGCAUCGCAAUUGAUGGCAAUGGUACCUGGAGAGGGGGGUCUCUGUCGGGCUUGGUUCAGCUGCCGUCAUAUACUCAAGAGUUGAUUCCAUCCCAAUCUUAAGAAUCCGGGAAAGAGAGAUCAUAUUGUGUUGGUAGACAAAGCUACACCUAGCCUUCCAUAUUGCCCAAGCUAGAAAGCUGAUCCAGGUAAACACCCACUUCCUUUCCUUGCUGUUGUGAUGAGAAUUAGAAAUGAGUAAGAACCAUUUGUCAAAAGUAGUAACCUGUUGUUUAUCGAUCCUUAGUCCCAAAGGGAAACCAAACCAAACCAUUUCUACCCAAGGGCAUAAAAGAAGAGUAUGCUCUAUAGAUUAAUCAAAAUCACCACAAAUCGGGGCAUCUGUUAGCUUACGCUUGUAGAGAUUAAGGAAAUAGGGGAUAGCUCCAUUUAGGACUUUCCAUAGAAAUAUCUUGAUUUUUGGUAGAGAAGCAAUUUUCCACAAUAACUUCCAGCACCUACUAUCCACAGAGUGGGAGGUUCCACUCUUAUGGGUGAUAUGGGAGGUUUUCUGCUGGUUAUGGAUCAAAUGAUACGCUGACUUGACAGUGUAAUCUCCACACUUGUUCCAUGGCCAAACCAGCUUGUCAUCUCCACCCCCCCUGCCUAUAGGAACAGACAAUAUCUUUUCGACCUCAGAGGGUAAUAAGAUGUGAAGAAUUUGGUCUAGAGUCCACGUCCGGGUGUCUGGAUCAAUAAUUUCAACAACUCGAGUUGGAGCAUUACUAGGGAUAGCAUCAAUAGUAUGUACCAAACCAAAAUUAGGAGGAGGAAUCCAGUAAUCAGUCCAUAUAUUGAUGGAUGAGCCACUGACGACUUGCCAGAAAGAGCCUUUUAGAGCUAUGUCCCUUGCUUCCAAAAGACUCGACCAACCCCAUGAAGCCCAGUAUCCUUUUUCAGCCUUGAUGAAGUCACAAUUUGGGUAGUACCUGACUUUAGUCACACGAGUCCAUAGGGAAUUAGGCUGCUGGAUAAGGCGCCAGGCCUGCUUGGUAAGGAGGGCAAGGUUGAAAUGGUGGAGGUCCCUGAACCCUAAGCCUCCCAUGUCGUUAGACUUGCCCAAGUGUUCCCAACUAUUCCAGUGAAUCUUGUUGCCAUUUUCAUUAUAACCCCACAAAAAGUUACCAAGGGCAGAGUUAAUAUCAUCGCAGAUGCCUUUAGGGAACUUGAAGCACGUCAUAGGAUAAGUGGGGACUGCAAUAGCUAUCGAUUUGAUCAAAACAGUUCUUCCAGCUUGAGACAAAGCCUUCUGUUUCCGGCCAUCGAUUUUGUGCCUGAUCUUCUCUUUGAUAAAAGAAAGGGCCUCAUUCUUAGACCUGCCCCAUAUAGUUGAGAGCAGAUCAUUCACUCCAGGGUUUGGAGCGACACUCGAUACUAAUACCUCGCCCUCCUGUGUGAUUUUUUUGGAGGAUUUUGAGCAAGAACCCAUUACCUCAGACACCAUUUUCAUGUCCAUUGCAUUGUUCAGUGCCUGGAGAUGAACCACAUGUGUCCCCUCUGCCGAUACCCAAUGCCAACAGAAGAAGAUUAAGACCUGCUCAACCUGCCAAGAUCAAGAGGUGCUUGCUGCUGUCUUAUCAAUUAUGAGUCUUGAAAAUUAAACAAAAAAAGUUGGUUGCUACUGAAAUAAAAUGUGUCAUCUUUUAUUUACUUUGUAUAGGUAUUUUCGCUAUUAGUGACAGAAAUUGGAAGCAUAGUGAGCCUUGGUGUGAGGUGUGAGGUGUGAGGUGUGAGGUGUGAGGUGUGAGGGAGUCUGUGAAUUUUUUCACGAUCCUUUUAAGGGGAAUAGUGCCGUGAGGAAGGCAAGGUCAGGAAGGUGUUGAAAGUGGAACCUCUUCCAGAUGGAUCUGGCCGUUUCUUUAACCUCAGUAAUCCUCUUAUUCCUUGAAAUCUUUGUGGUGAACUAAUACAAUAGUACCUUAUUUGUAUUGAACUUAUGUAAUACAUUGAAAUAUGUAAUACACCGGUAGAAAUUAGGUGUUCGAAAAAGUUUGAUGUUACUUGGUCAUUCUGUUUUAUCUUAUAUAAUAUUAACCUCAUUUGGUCAACCAUACAGUCUAUUUCUGAUAUCAAUUAUGGUUAUAUGGCAUUUAUUCAAGGUGUUCAAAACAAGCUUAUCAACUUGGAUGAGAACAUUUAUAUUCCUGUCACCAAAGCGGAGUUUGUUGUUCUCAACUCCGCUUUCAAUGUAUGAUCUCCACUACUCUCCACUAAUUUUGCUGAAUUCUUGCCUGUUAGGACUCAUAUCCAUGUGUUCUCUGCAAUAUAUCUUACCGUAUCUCAUAGGCUGGCAUGCAUAUGCAAACUCUAUAAAGCCAGAAGAUAUGAGCCGUGUGAAUAACUCCACUCCUAGAUAUGGAGGGGACUUUGAAUGGAGCUGGUAGUGAACAUUGCGGGCGUUUCUCUGACGUGCAAAUUAUGUUCUUUCUUAUAUGUUGUAACUGUACUGUUAUUAGGAUUUAGGAAGUCCUAAAAUUUUGUUAAUUAGUAGCUAUUUGUUUAUGGAAAAUUUAAAGAAUGAAGUGGCUGACCUUGUCCUC